rnacentral:rRNA from 1 species
CCUACGGGUGGCAGCAGUGAGGAAUAUUGGGCAAUGGACGAGAGUCUGAACCAGCCAAGUAGCGUGAAGGAUGACUGCCCUACGGGUUGUAAACUUCGUUUUUAAAGGAAUAAAGUGAGGCACGUGUGCCUUUUUGUAUGUACUUUAUGAAUCAGGAACGGCUAACUCCGUGCCAGCAGACGCGGUAAUACGGAGGAUCCGAGCGUGAUCCGGAUUUAUUGGGUUUAAAGGUAGCGUAGAUGGGUUGUUAAGUUCGUUGUGAAAGUUUGCGGCUCAACCGUAAAAUUGCAUUUGAUACUGGCAGUCUUGAGUACAGUUGAGGUAGGCGGAAUUCGUGGUGGAGCGGUGAAAUGCUUAGAGAUCACGAAGAACACCGAUUGCGAAGGCAGCUUACUAAACUGCCACUGACAUUGAUGCUCGAAAGUGUGGGUAUCAAACAGGAUUAGAUACCCCUGUAGUC